AUCGAACGCUGGCGGCAGGCUCAACACAUGCAAGUCGAGCGGAGAUGAGGUGCUUGCACCUUAUCUUAGCGGUGGACGGGUGAGUAAUGCUUAGGAAUCUGCCUAUUAGUGGGGGACAACAUUCCGAAAGGAAUGCUAAUACCGCAUACGUCCUACGGGAGAAAGCAGGGGAUCUUCGGACCUUGCGCUAAUAGAUGAGCCUAAGUCGGAUUAGCUAGUUGGUGGGGUAAAGGCCUACCAAGGCGACGAUCUGUAGCGGGUCUGAGAGGAUGAUCCGCCACACUGGGACCGAGACACGGCCCAGACUCCUACGGGAGGCAGCAGUGGGGAAUAUUGGACAAUGGGGGGAACCCUGAUCCAGCCAUGCCGCGUGUGUGAAGAAGGCCUUAUGGUUGUAAAGCACUUUAAGCGAGGAGGAGGCUACUGAGACUAAUACUCUUGGAUAGUGGACGUUACUCGCAGAAUAAGCACCGGCUAACUCUGUGCCAGCAGCCGCCGUAACAC
rnacentral:rRNA from 1 species